AUGCUUAAUUUGAAAGCUGAAUUUAAACGGUUCUUGAUCAGAAUUUACAGCCAACUUGUAUUGGCUGUAACCUGGACAAAACCUGAUAAAAACAUGUGUUUCUUGAGCCUAAAAUGUAAUUCCAGGAAAUAUCCUUAAGACCCCACUGGAAUCGCAUUUUUUCGACGAAAAUUGAGCGUUUUAUGAAUUUUUCCGUGUCAAAGGUUCAAGCUGCGUUUUCUGGCAGAAUCUGCAGCCCAUUACGAAUAUCAUAACUCAAUUUAGGAAUUGAGUUAUGAUCUCAAAUUCUUACUAUAGAAAGUAUUAAGUGAUUAGAAGAAUCACCAAUUGGAAUUUCGUCAAUCGGAUAAACGAGGAAUUUUUAAUGAAUUUUUCCGUAAGCUGCAGUCAGAAGUGACGAAUCUGAUUGCAGCUUAGUAGAUGAAUUUUUACGAAUUUUUGGUAAAGAGUACGCCACAUAAAAAAAUCAUAAUUUUUGAAGACUUGUAAACAGGUUAAACAGGUCACCAAAAACAGCCUAUUUUCAGUGAUACGAAACUUGAUUGUUGAUGUUAUAAAUUAUGCCCACAAUGUUCAUAUGUUGAAAUUAUGAAUCAAACGCGUAAUUUCCUAGUUCGACUAAUUACGUGUGAUGUGGGGUAAUACAAAUUUUAAUUAUGAAGUCGAUUUAGCUUAUAUGCACAUAUCAUAUAAUUAAGGGUAGUUAACUUUUGAAAAGUUAAACUAACCAUGGACGGAGUCGAAUAGUAGUUUUGACAUAGAAAAUACGUAAGGUGGAAUAGUCGUGGUUAUAAUGACUAAUCUAACCACCUUGUGAAUUAUGAUGAUAGUUUGACACUUGACAAGCUAGAUGGAGGCUUGGGAAUGAAGCGGGUCAAACGGAGCAAGUACGAAAAGGAAAGCGUAAUUUGGAUGCGAGGUGAAUGUCGAGGGUCCCGGAUGAAGAU
rnacentral:lncRNA from 1 species